rnacentral:rRNA from 1 species
UAGCGUAGGGGGCAAGCGUUGUUCCGGGAAUUAUUGGGACGUAAAGCGCGCGCAGGCGGCUAUUUAAGUCUGGUGUUUAAACCUUGGGCUCAACCUGAGGUCGCACUGGAAACUGGGUGGCUUGAGUACAGAAGAGGAAAGUGGAAUUCCACGUGUAGCGGUGAAAUGCGUAGAUAUGUGGAGGAACACCAGUGGCGAAGGCGACUUUCUGGGCUGUAACUGACGCUGAGGCGACGAAAGGCGUGGGGAGCAAACAGG